UUUAUUAGCAGCUUAAAAACUUUGUCUUCAUGUUCAUCUUUAUCUCUGACAUCUGAGGGAAGAAAAAGAAUAGCGCUCAGUGUCCAUUUCAGAAAAUUAAUUAUCACUUUUUCAAACAAAGUUCUGAUGGGAUGCCUUCUAAAUGCGACAGAGAUGCCUAACAAAACUAGGAAGGCGUUUAGUAUAACAUUAAUAAUAAUUACGGCCAUUGUAGGAAAUGCAAAAAGAAAAUGAUUUUAAGCGUCCCCUUUUACCCUACAACAACCCCGAUAAUCAUAUAGGAAAUAUAGCAUGUGGAAAGCACAGUUACACUGGCACCAAAAACAAAUACCAAACUCAAUACCAAUAGAAAUUACUCCCUUAAGAACAUGAAGGAAAAGAACGCAAUUCAAGCCACUCAAGCCGAGACAUUCAGAACAACUAAUACGUAAAGUAUACCAAUAUAAAUAUGUGCAUGAUCCAGAGUUUGAAGUGGCAAUACCAGAGUUGGUGUCAGCGAGCCUGCUGAGCUUUACAGGUUCCUGUAAAGCGGGCUCCAAAAUGAGAGUUCGGCAACUUUGAUACUGACACCCAUGAAAAUCAUCAGGCAACUGAGGAUUUGACUUGUGUGCUAUUGAGAAUCCAAAUACAAAGUGUUGAUUGAGAUUAUUCUUUCUGCACAUAGUAAGAACGCCGUUUUGGCCCAUCGACCUCGUCAGCGCCCUUAAUGAUACCAUUUUCAAUGGAAAAUAGGAAGCGCAACAAACAGAUUAUCGGAUUUUUCUGUGCAAGGCGUGAGGCCAAGGAAGAGACUAUACAGGGUCCACCAACGAGACUCUGCGUCAAAAAGAGAUAGAACAAACGACUAUCCAGGAGCGCAGCCAGGUCCGCCCAUUCACAGCGUCAGUCGCAAGCAGACAGGGAAAAUCGGGGAUUUUGCCGGGUUGGUUUGCUGGUGCGGGAUAGAUUUGCUAUUAUCAUAAUCAUAAUCAUUAUUAUUUGAAUUGGCUGCUGCGUUGAUUGCGCUUCGCCAUCUAGUGGGCUUAAAUUGAAAAAGCAGUGAUCCAUUAAAUGUUAUUUUGAUGAUUAAAAAGAGGUAGAUGAGAGUAUAAUAUUCAUCGAAUAAAAUUUGAAGUAUAUCUAGGAACGUUACUGAGUUAAAAAUAGAAUGAGAUAUUGUAGGUGUUUAUAAAAUUUUGUUUACAUUUUUUAAUAAAAUAAAUUAAAAACAAAAAUUAAGAAUGCCUUUAACUGAACUGAACCAAAUUAAAUUGUACUGGUUUAGGACCAAAAAUCACUUAAAGAUUUAGAUGGAAGACUGGAACACAGAUGAUUCAAUCUCGUCCACUCUGGAUAAGAAUAUUUCUGGUUUAUUAGGUCUAGACUAUAAAUGUUAUUUUUUUUUUUUAAAAAAAAAAAUUUAGUUUUAUAAUAAAAAAAAAAAAGUACAUAAAUAUACAUAUGUGUACGUCUCGUCUAUAUAUAUAUAUAUAUAAGAAAAGAAAACAGGUGAAACAAAGUAACUAUUGCAUAUUGGAGGCUAUAAGUGAGGGCUGAGGCGUGUUGUAUUGUUUAGUUGACAACCACCCGGUUGCAGGUGUGCAAAGAGCGACCGAGAGGCCAAGGGAGAUAUUUAUUAACGUUGUGUUUGCAUGAUGUUGUGUGUUGAUAAUACGUGUGUGUAGGAAAGCUUAAGACUGAUAGGCUAUGCAUGACACUGGCUCGAGGCAAAGGAAAAAAUGAGAUUAGAAGCAAGAGGUGGAGGCAUAGAGCAUUAGAGGAAACAAAGGAGGGAAGAACUAACUAGAAAUGAGAAAAAAAA
rnacentral:lncRNA from 1 species